GAUGAACGCUGGCGGCGUGCCUAAUACAUGCAAGUCGAGCGAACGGACGAGAAGCUUGCUUCUCUGAUGUUAGCGGCGGACGGGUGAGUAACACGUGGAUAACCUACCUAUAAGACUGGGAUAACUUCGGGAAACCGGAGCUAAUACCGGAUGAUAUUUUGAACCGCAUGGUUCAAAAGUGAAAGGCGGUCUUGCUGUCACUUAUAGAUGGAUCCGCGCUGCAUUAGCUAGUUUGUAAGGUAACGGCUUACCAAGGCAACGAUGCAUAGGCGAACUGGGAGGGUGAUCGGCCACACUGGAACUGAGACGCGGUCCAGACUCCUACGGGAGGCCGCAGUCGGGAAUCUUCCGCAAUGGGCGAAAGCCUGACGGAGCAACGCCGCGUGAGUGAUGAAGGUCUUCGGAUCGUAAAACUCUGUUAUUAGGGAAGAACAUAUGUGUAAGUAACUGUGCACAUAUUGACGGUACCUAAUCAGAAAGCCACGGCUAACUACGUG
rnacentral:rRNA from 1 species